ACGAAGGGGCUCUCGGACCUCUGACCUAAAGAUUAGCCCAAGUGAGAUUAGCUAGUUGGUGAGGUAAUGGCUCACCAAGGCGACGAUCUCUAGCUGGUUUGAGAGGAUGAUCAGCCACACUGGGACUGAGACACGGCCCAG
rnacentral:rRNA from 1 species